rnacentral:rRNA from 1 species
GUGGGGAAUCUUGCGCAAUGGGCGAAAGCCUGACGCAGCCAUGCCGCGUGAAUGAUGAAGGUCUUAGGAUUGUAAAAUUCUUUCACCGGGGACGAUAAUGACGGUACCCGGAGAAGAAGCCCCGGCUAACUUCGUGCCAGCAGCCGCGGUAAUACGAAGGGGGCUAGCGUUGCUCGGAAUUACUGGGCGUAAAGGGCGCGUAGGCGGACAGUUUAGUCAGAGGUGAAAGCCCAGGGCUCAACCUUGGAAUUGCCUUUGAUACUGGCUGUCUUGAGUACUGGAGAGGUGAGUGGAACUCCGAGUGUAGAGGUGAAAUUCGUAGAUAUUCGGAAGAACACCAGUGGCGAAGGCGACUCACUGGCCCGUUACUGACGCUGAGGCGCGAAAGCGUGGGGAGCAAACAGGAUUAGAUACCCGUGUAGUCC